rnacentral:rRNA from 1 species
AGUGAACGCUGGCGGUAGGCCUAACACAUGCAAGUCGAACGGCAGCACAGUAAGAGCUUGCUCUUACGGGUGGCGAGUGGCGGACGGGUGAGGAAUACAUCGGAAUCUACUUUUUCGUGGGGGAUAACGUAGGGAAACUUACGCUAAUACCGCAUACGACCUACGGGUGAAAGCAGGGGAUCUUCGGACCUUGCGCGAUUGAAUGAGCCGAUGUCGGAUUAGCUAGUUGGCGGGGUAAAGGCCCACCAAGGCGACGAUCCGUAGCUGUUCUGAGCGGAUGAUCAGCCACACUGUAACUGAGACUCGGUCCAGACUCCUACGGGAGGCUGCAGUGGGGACUAUUGGACAAUGGGCGCAAGCCUGAUCCAGCCCUACCGCGUGGGUGAAGAUGGCCUUCUAGUUCUAAAGCCCUUUUGUUGGGAAAGAAAAGCAGCAGGUUAAUACCCCGCUGUUCUGACGGUACCCAAAGAAUAAGCACCGGCUAACUUCGUG